AAGGGCCAUAUGCGGAGGUUGCAUGGCAGCAUGAAGCAGAGCCACCUCAAUCAGCUGGGAGGAGGAGUGUCAUGCAGCCUGCUGGAAGGCAGUGUCGCAGCAG